rnacentral:rRNA from 1 species
CGGACGAGAAGCUUGCUUCUCUGAUGUUAGCGGCGGACGGGUGAGUAACACGUGGAUAACCUACCUAUAAGACUGGGAUAACUUCGGGAAACCGGAGCUAAUACCGGAUAAUAUUUUGAACCGCAUGGUUCAAAAGUGAAAGACGGUCUUGCUGUCACUUAUAGAUGGAUCCGCGCUGCAUUAGCUAGUUGGUAAGGUAACGGCUUACCAAGGCAACGAUGCAUAGCCGACCUGAGAGGGUGAUCGGCCACACUGGAACUGAGACACGGUCCAGACUCCUACGGGAGGCAGCAGUAGGGAAUCUUCCGCAAUGGGCGAAAGCCUGACGGAGCAACGCCGCGUGAGUGAUGAAGGUCUUCGGAUCGUAAAACUCUGUUAUUAGGGAAGAACAUAUGUGUAAGUAACUGUGCACAUCUUGACGGUACCUAAUCAGAAAGCCACGGCUAACUACGUGCCAGCAGCCGCGGUAAUACGUAGGUGGCAAGCGUUAUCCGGAAUUAUUGGGCGUAAAGCGCGCGUAGGCGGUUUUUUAAGUCUGAUGUGAAAGCCCACGGCUCAACCGUGGAGGGUCAUUGGAAACUGGAAAACUUGAGUGCAGAAGAGGAAAGUGGAAUUCCAUGUGUAGCGGUGAAAUGCGCAGAGAUAUGGAGGAACACCAGUGGCGAAGGCGACUUUCUGGUCUGUAACUGACGCUGAUGUGCGAAAGCGUGGGGAUCAAACAGGAUUAGAUACCCUGGUAGUCCACGCCGUAAACGAUGAGUGCUAAGUGUUAGGGGGUUUCCGCCCCUUAGUGCUGCAGCUAACGCAUUAAGCACUCCGCCUGGGGAGUACGACCGCAAGGUUGAAACUCAAAGGAAUUGACGGGGACCCGCACAAGCGGUGGAGCAUGUGGUUUAAUUCGAAGCAACGCGAAGAACCUUACCAAAUCUUGACAUCCUUUGACAACUCUAGAGAUAGAG